rnacentral:rRNA from 1 species
GAUGAACGUUGGCGGCGUGCCUAAUACAUGCAAGUCGAACGAAGACUGUAGUAAUACUGUCUUAGUGGCGAACGGGUGAGUAACGCGUGGGUGACCUGCCCCGAAGUGUGGGAUAACAGUCCGAAAGGAUUGCUAAUACUGCAUAAUAUCCAAGAGAUUAGAUGCUUUUUGGAUUAAAGGAGUAAUUCGCUUCGGGAGGGGCCCGCGUCCCAUCAGCUAGUUGGUAAGGUAAUGGCUUACCAAGGCGAUGACGGGUAGGGGACCUGAGAGGGUGGCCCCCCACAAUGGAACUGAAACACGGUCCAUACACCUACGGGUGGCAGCAGUAGGGAAUAUUAGUAAUGGGCGAAAGCCUGAACUAGCAACGCCGCGUGUGCGAAGAAGGCCUUCGGGUCGUAAAGCACUUUUGAGAGGAUGAGGAAGGACGGUACUCUCAGAAUAAGUCUCGGCUAACUACGUG